AACUGAUACUACCUGCGGGAACCUGCGGAGGGAUCAUUAGUGAACGCCCUCACGGGCUUAUAACUGUUCCAAACCUCUGUGAACCGUGCCCUUCGGGGCUAUUUUACAAACAUGGUGUAAUGAACGUCAUAUAUCAUAACAAAACAAAACUUUUAGCAACGGAUCUCU
rnacentral:misc_RNA from 1 species